rnacentral:lncRNA from 1 species
UGAAAGUUGUAAUUAGUAAGAGUGCUGACUUGUUGACCCGACAAUCUUCUCCAUUAGAACUUUUGAGGAAAUUUGUGAAGGCAACCUACCUUUAUUCAAAUAUUAACUAUGAUUUGCUUUGUCACAUAUUUAGAUUUUUCGGGAGACCAAAACCUAUAAUUUGGCCCUUGCCGCUUAAGGGCAGAAGGGAGAUCUUGGAGGUCCACCAGCCCAACCUGUUAGGGAGAGAGGCAAGACAUCUUCAUGGAUGAAUGGAAGAAAGAGAGAAAUAAGUGGGACAAGGCAUCUGUGUGGCUAGAGAGAGAGAGAGAGAGAGAGAGAGAGAGAGGUAGGUANNNNNNNNNNNNNNNNNNNNAGAGAGAGAGAGAGAGAGAGAAGAGAGAGAGAGAGAGGGUAGUGUAUAAAAAACAGAAAACUGAAGAUUUUUCUGUUUUUUCUAAUUUCAUAAAAUACUUAAAUAAUAUGAAGUGGCACUAAAGCUAAUCCUUUUAACAAAUAUGUUAGUGUAUUCUCAUUUGAGUCCAAUUUUGAGGAAGAAUGAUAUUUAGGUUGUCUUUUUAGAAGUAAAAAGUAGGUAGUUUUUAAGUCUGAUAGAGUAAAUAGUAAAGUAACAUGAUAUGUGGUGGUUUUCUUAUCUUGUCGGG